GCAUUUGAAAUCCUACUUUUUUUGCUUCUGGUUCCUUCACUCUUUCCCUCACCCCAAUCAGCAAAAUAUUUUGAACCAAGCUGGGAAGCUCCCUUACCCAACUGACUUCUUUCCUUUAUUUUAAUAUCUGCUCGUGUAAGCGUUCUCAGUGACAAGAUCUACACAAUGAUUACACAAAGGCUUAGGUGUGCCAGGCCCCGAGCUAAAAGCCUUAUGCACAUUAUCAUGUUAUCUCAUUUCCUUGUCACAGAACAGUUCCAAGGUAGGUACUAUUUUCAUUCUAUUUCAUAGUUGAGGAAACUGAGGUUUAAGGAGGUGGACUGGAUCACCCAACGCUCCUAGCUAAUUAGUGGCUGUCAGGUCUAUCUGCAAAGCACAGGCUUUUGAUGUAUAACCAAAACAGUCUCCUCUGCAAAGAGGCUGGUGUCAAUUUCGAAUUCACCUAAUUGAAUUCGAAAUUGGACAGGUCUUGGGGACUUUUGUCCUUAAGAGGUGUAAAGGUUUCUCUUCAAAGACCUUCCUCCCCAUUUAAUUAGGAAUAAAUAGUAACUUCUCUUAGAAGCAAAAUUUAUUCAAAGACCUGUGCUAACAUUCUUAAAUAUCUGCUAGCCAUGAUAAAGAAAUCAAUGUACUUUAUGUUCUUAGCUCCCACAAUUUAGCCUAAGUAUUUUCCCUGGCAUGCUUAUACUGGUCCAAGCAAGCAUUAGGUCAUAGCCUGUUCCUCUUCCUUAUCUAAAGGUGUUUUUACCUUUCUCAGCAUUCCACAAGUUACUUCCUCCUUCCUUUGUUCUCCUCUGCCUUUGCCUCUUUUAAAAAGUUCUAAGUUGUUAGCCAAUCGGGACAAAUACAGAAUGGGAGGUCCUGUUCCAGCCAAUGGAAACUGGACACAGCAGUAGGGUGGACGCGUCAGGUUAUAAAUGACCCUGUCUCCUUUGUUUGGUGUACUCUCGUGGCAAAACUCCUGGUGAGUGUACCCUUUCACAGAAAGUAUAAAAAUGUCCUUGCUGAGUAAAUUAAAUUUAUGUUCAAGUGCUAUUUCUUUACGGCACCAGGGAACAAGCAUUUCAAACAGAGGUGACUCAAUGGUGUUUCAGCGUCCAGGUGGCACGGUGUUCUCUCACUCCACCUCGACGGCCCAUGUCCACAAGAGGGUUCCUCCCAACAAGAAGCCUGUUCUACAACCUCAGCAGUUGUAGACUUAGUCCCAUCUUUCCCAGCUGAGGGUCCAGAACCUUGGCUGUCCCCAUCAAGGUCAGAAUCUACCUUACGUAAAAUAAUUUAUGAAAACUCUUUCAGAUCAUCCUGCAGUGAUUUCUUCCUGGUCAGGUGCCCUGGUUGAAGUCCAUGACGUCUCUUCCUGGCAAAGCCUGUUUAGAGCUGUUAUAUCCUGGUCCGGAUAAAAUAAGCCAGCUAGCUCGAGAAGGAAACUAUUGUCUUGGGAACUUGAGUGCCUGGAUCGUGGUGAGCUGGAGCUGAGUGCCCGAUACAUUCCAGCUGCCUCUUCAUGUCCAGUCUACACCCUCCAUCCUGCUGCCUGGGAGCUGAUCUCUAUGGGUAUCUCACCGGGGGCCCAGGGCCUAUGGCUGCUGGGGGCCAGAAGAAGGGAGGAGUGCAGUUAGGGUGUUUCUUCCCUGGCUCCUUCUCUGAGAGCGUGGCUCGGCUCCAUGUGGCUGUGUCCCGUGACUGCGGGGCAGGUUGCACCUGCACAUGAACCACUUUCACUGCUAGAAUCUGACAAUUGUCCCCAACUCACAGCUCCAGACCCUCUUCUGGGAAGGACUCAGCCACGCUUCCUCCUCGGAUCACAGAAGACUCCAGAUGCAAGCUGUCUGUUUGCAACAGUGUGCAGGGCUUCUCUGACUGGGAGGCUGCUCCUGUCAGCUGUUCACCUUCUUCACUGACUCCAGAGUGUGCACGUGAGCCUGCCUGGAGGCGCUUGGACAAUCAUUUACCCCAUUUAAAAAAAACUGGCCUGCGUUCUUGACUGCAAAAACUCAUUAUCAUAAAAAUGCCAUGUCCUCUUAAGUUAGCCUAUAAACUUAAUGUAAUGCUAAUAAAAAUAGCAAUAGGGCUAGGUA